UACAGAGGGAGCUAGCGUUGUUCGGAAUUACUGGGCGUAAAGCGCACGUAGGCGGCUUUGUAAGUUAGAGGUGAAAGCCCGGGGCUCAACCCCGGAAUUGCCUUUAAGACUGCAUCGCUUGAAUCCGGGAGAGGUGAGUGGAAUUCCGAGUGUAGAGGUGAAAUUCGUAGAUAUUCGGAAGAACACCAGUGGCGAAGGCGGCUCACUGGACCGGUAUUGACGCUGAGGUGCGAAAGCGUGGGGAGCAAACAGG
rnacentral:rRNA from 1 species